rnacentral:piRNA from 1 species
ACCAACUGUCCCUCCUCCACGUGUACGUC